UCUUCAUUGAGUUAGCUCGCAACCUCUGCCUUCUCCUUGAUGUCUCCUUUCUUUGCCUGAACCAUUUAAGCGAGAUCUCACAAUAUUGUGGAAAAUUGAUAUGGAUGGGAAGGUGAAUGGAGCAGUUGAGACAUGCUUGGGGUCUUUUCAUCGUUAUGCAAAUAUAUGAAUUUCUCACAAACCUUUAUCAAGGAGAAGUUUGACCUUCAUUCGUGGAAGAAGGAAAAGUGCACUAAACAUUGUCAUUAUUGGCAGAAUCUUAGAACGAAUGGGCUGCUCAAGAAAGCCUAUGAAUUGUCUGUGCUCUGACGUCGCACUAAUCGGCUUCUCCGCCCACGACCGCUUGUAUGAGUACUCCAAUAACAGUUAACAGUAAGUGAAGACUACUAUUAGGUGCAUAUGGAAUGAUACUUUGCAUUUUUCUCGUUUGGUGACAGGUACUUGGAUUUUUAUGAAUCAAUAUAAUGGUUGAAGAUGAUCCAUCUAAUCGAGUUUUAAAUUUACAAGACUUUGUUAGUAUUACAAUUUAAUAUUUUGAGUGUAUUUGUAGGUUGUUUUGGAUGUAAAAGAUUUAUCAUUAGUAUUGCAUUUGUAAAUUUGACUCAAAUGAGUAUUGGAUGAAUAAAAAUAUCUAUGAGUCCUUUAAA